rnacentral:lncRNA from 1 species
GAUGUAUAAGGGUCAUCGUAGGGUCAUCGAUAGGUCAUUGAAGGCAACAGUUGUGAGGAUACCUUAGCAUUCGAAGGGACUAUCAUCAUUUAACCGUAGGCUACACCGAAGGGUCAUCGAGGGACAAAAUCGUAUUUUUGAAGGCAACAUCCGAGGGACUAUGAUGAUUUUACCGAAGGGUCUUUGCUAAAGGUAUCCCCACGUGCGCGGGACAUGACCGUAAUAUUGUAAUCGUGGGGUAAUAAAGAGAGGUCCGAUGUCAUUUAUUU